rnacentral:tRNA from 1 species
AAUAGUUUGGUCGAGUGGUCUAAGGUACCAAAUUUAGGUUUGGUCCGAAAGGGCAUAGGUUCAAAUCCCACAACUAUCA